AUUGAACGCUGGCAGAAUGCUUUACACAUGCAAGUCGAACGGCAGCACGGGGCAACCUGGUGGCGAGUGGCGAACGGGUGAGUAAUACAUCGGAACGUGCCCAGUCGUGGGGGAUAACGUAGCGAAAGCUACGCUAAUACCGCAUACGAUCCAAGGAUGAAAGCGGGGGAUCGCAAGACCUCGCGCGAUUGGAGCGGCCGAUGGCAGAUUAGGUAGUUGGUGGGGUAAAGGCUCACCAAGCCGACGAUCUGUAGCUGGUCUGAGAGGACGACCGGCCACACUGGGACUGAGACACGGCCCAGACUCCUACGGGAGGCAGCAGUGGGGAAUUUUGGACAAUGGGCGCAAGCCUGAUCCAGCCAUUCCGCGUGCAGGAUGAAGGCCUUCGGGUUGUAAACUGCUUUUGUACGGAACGAAAAGGUGCCUUCUAAUACAGGGCGCUCAUGACGGUACCGUAAGAAUAAGCACCGGCUAACUACGUGCCAGCCGCCGCUGUAAAAC
rnacentral:rRNA from 1 species